UCCUACCGGGAGGCAGCAGUGGGGAAUAUUGCACAAUGGGCGCAAGCCUGAUGCAGCCAUGCCGCGUGUAUGAAGAAGGCCUUCGGGUUGUAAAGUACUUUCAGUCGUGAGGAAGGCAUUAACGUUAAUAGCGUUAGUGUUUGACGUUAGCGACAGAAGAAGCACCGGCUAACUCCGUGCCAGCAGCCGCGGUAAUACGGAGGGUGCGAGCGUUAAUCGGAAUUACUGGGCGUAAAGCGCAUGCAGGUGGUUUGUUAAGUCAGAUGUGAAAGCCCGGGGCUCAACCUCGGAACCGCAUUUGAAACUGGCAGGCUAGAGUACUGUAGAGGGGGGUAGAAUUUCAGGUGUAGCGGUGAAAUGCGUAGAGAUCUGAAGGAAUACCAGUGGCGAAGGCGGCCCCCUGGACAGAUACUGACACUCAGAUGCGAAAGCGUGGGGAGCAAACAGGAUUAGAUACCCUGGUAGUCCACGCCGUAAACGAUGUCUACUUGGAGGUUGUGGCCUUGAGCCGUGGCUUUCGGAGCUAACGCGUUAAGUAGACCGCCUGGGGAGUACGGUCGCAAGAUUAAAACUCAAAUGAAUUGACGGGGGCCCGCACAAGCGGUGGAGCAUGUGGUUUAAUUCGAUGCAACGCGAAGAACCUUACCUACUCUUGACAUCCAGAGA
rnacentral:rRNA from 1 species